AUGUGGUUCUUCAUCUUCAGCCUCCGUCUGUUCUGUUUGCAGGUUCUCUACUGUCUGUGUUUCCUCCAUCUCACUCUGGUUUUCUCCUCUCUUUUCUCUAAACUGUUCUCUGUCUGUUUCUAUUGUCUCAUUGUCUGUUUCUUUGCUCCUACUGUUGUUUUCUCUCCUCUGUGGUUUUUUAUCCACGUUUUCUGUUUGCAGGUUCUUUACUGUCUGUGUUUUCUUCAUCUCAUUCUGGUUUUCCACCGUCUGUGUUGUUACCCGUUCUGGUUCCAUCAGAGGUUCCUUCUCUGGUUCAUUAGCUCCAGACCUGUUCUGUGUCUCUUCAUCCUGCUGCUUCUUUCCUGUGAGCAGAAACAGACGUCAGUGUUUGACACAGAUGAAGCUGAAGCUUCAGACGUGAUGGAGGUUUUACUGCUCUUAUUUAAUGCAGAUGAACUAACAGGGUUUUGUCGCCCUUCACUUGCUGUGGAUUCACAGACGUUUACAGUAAAUCCUCAGAUCAGAGUUUGUGUUCUACACUAUGCUAGUGAGCACAUAAUGAUCACAGACUCCAGAACUUUAACUAGUGCUGUGAUAUUAAAUAAGACUAAAGAUGUUAAUAAUUUAGUGACUCACCAUGUUUGUUCUUCCUUCGUUUCCACACAACCAGAGCAGCAACAGCAGCAAGAAGAACCACGAUACAGAGAAUCAAACCCACGACGACAAGAACAGAUGAACCAGAACUGGAUCUAGAAUCAGUCUGACCCGGGAAGAUGUUGCCUGAUGAAGGGUCACACAGAGAAACACAGUUUGUAGGAAACAGCUGGAAACAGAUGUGUAACAUGAGAUCAUUGAGGUUCUACAGCACCUGUAACUUCAAUGUGAGCCUCUGAGGUGUGGUUGAUGGAGGUCUGCUGGACUCUGCAUGUGUAUCUGCUGCUGUGUCUCUUGUCCACAGUCACUCUGCUGCUGACAGUAUAGAGGUCAUCAGAACCUCUGACUGUCUCUGUAGGUCCAGCAGAGAGGAGCUUUCCCUCAGCGUCCAGCCACAGCAGCUCAGGCUCUGGGAACCAGCCUCCACUCCUACACUCCAGCACCACCACGUCACUGGUGUUGGAGACCUCAUGGAUCACGGGUGAGGAGACAGAACCUGGAGGUCAGAUGCUGGAGGUUAAAGUUCAAACCGUAGCUUCUGAGACUGUUCCUUCACUCUGUGCUCGACCAUAAACAAACCUGACCGACCUACAACGAGCUGCACAGCAGCGUCGCUGUCCAACCCUGGAACGAAGCACCUGUAGGUUCCUGCGUCCGACGGCCUCACGUGAACCAGCCUCAGAGAAACGUCCCCGUUCCUCAGCUCGUCCGUGAGCAGCGACGUUCUUCCCUCGUAGGCCUCGUGUUUGUUCCUCAGCUCCUCGCCGUCGCGCCACACCAGGACAAACCUGCGGUCGGGGCCGGUCCUCGUCCACUCCACCGUCAUGGCAACCGCAUCCGCCGGCGGCUGCAGGCGACACGGCAGCGUGACGUCAUCACCGACGGCCGCCGCGAUUGGCUGAGAUGGACCCACGACAAGAGAGCGGCCUGGAGGAAGAGGUGUGAAUGUGGGACUGCUGCUGUGCAUCAGCAGAGACCAGUCAGUAGCGAAGGCUUCACAUUUACCUUCACACGAGUGUAAAGUCAGAGCGAAGACGACAAGAGUUUGGAAAAGCAGAUGAAAACCAUGCAGCACAAACAUCCUGGAGUCUGGAAGAAGAGUCGCAAAAAGGCAGAAACGUUUCAGGAACAUGUGUCACAAUCAGAAUGCUUUUACUGGAUUUGUUUAAAUCAGACGUUGAUUCAGGUUUGAAUAUUAGCAAACUGCUUUAACACAACAGCUUCUAUAAUGUUGAUUUAUCGUGUUUAUUCUCAGUGGCCUGACGUGGUUUGAUGCCGUUGCUUCCUUUAACUUAACUUUAAUUUAUGCCAUAUAAACUUUUUAAACAGAGAAUGGAUGAAUGUGAUGAAACACAGACGCCUCAAAAAGGCUGAAUGACGUCAUAUUUUAAUAAAAAGCAGGAUGAAGUUGAAGAUUAAAAGCUA
ensembl:lncRNA